AUUCUAGUAGCUUAACUACAAAGCAUUGGUCUUGUAAACCAAAGAUUGAAAACCACAAAUUUCCUAGAAUA
rnacentral:tRNA from 2 species